GAAAAAAAAAGAGAGCUCAGCCAGAGUUUGAAAAAGAAACAAAAAAACACCCUAGGUCCACAAACAAUUAAGGGAUUGAUCCUAGACCCUUACAUGUGUGUGGUGUGAGUGCACACACUCGUGUGUGUUUGUGUGUGCACAAUUGUUUUGCUUUAUUUUUUUGAGAGUGUUGGCUGUUUAGCUCCUAAUUUUUUUUCAGACUUCCUGAUUUUCCUUAAUCCUUCUGGCUGUGCGUUUUGUCAUUGGCCUUGAGCUGGUUUGGAAAACAAAUAACCAAAACAGAUACUGAGUCCAUCUUUCAGUCCCUGUCUUCCUCCUCCUUUUCCUCCUCCUUCUCCCUUUUCAUUCCCCUCUUAUUCUCGGGGUUCAUAAAGCCCUGCAACUAUAUAUAUAUAUAUAUAAAUAUAUAUAUAAAGAUAAGCCUCUUUUUUAAAAACAAAAAGUAAAACGUUUACAAUUGAAAAAUCAUCUUGUGAAAAUAGGUUUGUUUGGAGGGGGGUUGUGUGUGUGCAAUGCUGCUGUUUUCUGGAUACUUUAAUGGAGCAUGUCCCAUGUACCCUCUGAGGUUCUGCACUGCCCACCUCUGUGGCCCUUCCUCACCUCUCUGCUGCUCUGCUGUUUUACCUUCACUUGGACCUUAAACACAACUCACGGACACUAUGCAGAGAGUCUUCAAGAGGCAAUAAACAGAACAGUAUUAACCUACUUUAUGGAGGUUUGAUCAUGCUUCUUUGUACAGUUUGGUUUUUUUAUUUUGAAAGGAAUGUAAUAAAAUGACUUUUUUUUUUUUUUUUGUAGAAUUAAAUAUUAUUAUUAAAAUCAAGUGAAAGGUUGACUGUUGGUGUUAAGCAGGAGGGUGGACCUGCUGGUCCAGCAAAAAAAAGAUCAUCAGCAGUAAAGGUAUUUUCAAAUCCUUCUUACUGAGCCUUCAAGUGCACAGGUUAUACCUGAAGAAUAUAAAGGUCUUCAGCUUCUGUGAAGAGUUACAGAAUGACAGAACAUGAAAGUAACCUAAUUCUCUAGUCACUGAGCAGUAAAUUGUCUCUUCCACGAGCUCUACUUCCCUUGCUUGUUUAUCCAAGGGGAAUUUGGGGUGGAGGGUGGCUCUUUUUUGUUGUUGUUAUUUUUUCUUUUUUUGUCUCUUCCUUUUUACUGGUAGGUGCCUGCAUUCCUUGACAGGCUGAUAGGGUCAAUCCUUCCCUUUCUAGCUGUGACAUACAUUGAGCACAUGUGGAAUAACAGCAGGGAGUAAACAGGUGCUAGUUGGUACACAAAGGGCUUUUCUAUCACAGGAAACAUCUUUUGGAUGAAAGUUAACUGAAUAUUCUGGAUUGUUUUUUUGAAUCCCCAUAGUAUCUUGUAGUUCACAGGAACCUUACAUUUCUAGCACCCUUUCAGAAUGUCUGGGUUACACCUCACAGUUAUAAAAUUCGUGAAGUAAAUAUAAGAUUUUUUAAAAAAAGACCAAGCCGGCUUAGAGAUUUGCACUUUGACUCCCUUCUGAUAAGUUGCUCCUCUGUUGGUGCUUCCAUGACUAGUUUGGAGAUAAGUCUAUGCAUAGUGGUCACAGAGGGAGACAGGAUUUGAAACAUCCUGUGCAUGUGUUUAUAUAUCGGGUACUGAUGCCGAGUGAAAACCUUGCUUGAGGGUUCAUUUGUACAAAUGGGCACACUUGUCUCAUGUAUUACUCCCUGCUUAACCCAUUGCUCCUGAAACAGUGAAAUGCAAAGAAUGGCCUGGAGGUGCAACGGGUGGUGUCUUGUUUUUACUCAAAGGGAAAAACACCAACUAAACUAGUCCAUGGUAACCAGGCAGUGUUUCCCAUUGAAGGUGAACUCCACAGAUAUCAGCUUUAUACACUUUAUUUUCUUCAAUUCCAUCUGCUGAAAAUCACAUGCUAAACUUCCAUACAGUUGCACUAACACUACCUCCAUGUGUGGGUUUGGAAGCAUGGGCUGAAAAAAUGGUCAACAUAGUGGUGGAUUACAGUGGUGCCAAUACAGCUGAUGGUGAUACAACUAUUUUUGUAUAUUUUAAUGUUUGAAAGAGCCACUUAGAAAUUUGUUUGCAGGAAAAAGUUUCUUAAACUACAUCUGGUGAAAUUUUGUUCUCUGUAACACUGGAGAUUUUAUUCUGUUCAGCUUACUGUGUUUGUAAUUGAUGUCUUGCUGUCAAUGUAUGAAUUGUAUCCUAAUCCUUGUAUUUAAUGCUUUAAUGUGUUUUAUAAAAUCUUUUCUUGUAAUGUUACAACACCUUAUCUGUAAAACAGUGUCAAUGCUUGAUGUUUACAUUGACUGUUACAUUUUUUGUUCUGAGCUGACGGUCAGUCUUGAAGCCUUUUCUCCCACUUCGUGUGCUAUCUUUGCUGUGAGAUAUUUACUCGGGAAAUAACCUCUGGAACAUCUGGGUAUGUCAGACGCAAAGGAGAUACUUCUUCAGAUGUUAUACCCGACUACAAAAUCCAACGAAUGAAACCAGUGACGCUGGCCAAAUUCCCUCAUUGCAAAAAUCUGUCAGUUAAAUACAUAAGGGACCAUAAGGGCUUAGAGAGACUUUGAAAACAGAUUGUACAGUAUCUUUCUCAUGGCUCACUCUUUUUGAGAAGGUUUAUGGGCUUUAUGGCUGGUGUGAGACACACGACCCACUCCUGUUCUCUCUAUGGAAUAGUAGGUGCUCGGACAGGUAACUUCUGUUGCUACUGUCUUUUUUAAUUUUUAAUUUUUUCACUGUUUUAGGAAUUGUUUUAAACUGAACACUGCAGUAUUUAUAACCAGGUGUUUGCUGCCUUUUCCUUUGUUUUAUUUAUUUAAAUCUUUCUUAACCUUUGAGGGUGACUUUUGGAGAAUUCUGAUAGUGGAUCUGCUGUUGGAAGUCUCCAAGCCUCCCAUGUUUCUAAUUUGAGUUGAAAAGCUUUUGUUUUUUUUUUAUUUGUUUAAAACAAUGACACAAAUUAACUGUGCGUAUUUCGGGUGGGAUUUGCUGUUGUGCUAUUUUGGAUGACUUAUUCUCCCUUUUUUUACAGAAAUGUGUUCUAACAGUUCACACUUUGUUACUGUUCUUUGCAAAACUUUUCAGGAGCCAAAAAAGUCAAACAAUCCAGAGAAAACCCCUUCUCCCCUUUCCGAUGGCAAGAGUGAGAACUUAUGAAAAAUCCUUGCGAAUGUUCCUUCCUAAACUUUUCCCCCCAGUAAUGCAAGCGGGUAAAAUGGUAAAUGCAGCAGUUUGGUGACAUCCAAAACCGACCUGUUGUCAGGUAAAUUGACACUUUUCUGCUCUUACUCUAACCUUGAUAAGUUUGCUAACUUGUCUGCCUUCCUUUCUUCCCAUCAGUUCAUUUUGGUGAUACUUGUUGAAUGAUUUCUUUAACCGGAUUUAGAGAAAACCCUGCUUUACUUCCUUAUUUCCCCUCCUUGUACUUGUUGACUUGUAAGAAAACUGUCAUUGUGCUUUACUGAGGUGAGACAAAAGUGAGUCCCCCAUGCAACUGUAUGAGGAAUAGUUUUGUAAUACAUUAAUUCUCCUUCCUCUUUAUCAAUUUUAGGUUGUCUUCAAGUGUACUGUUUUAGCUUAGAUUUUUGAAAGAUAUGUUGCUUUCCAUUUGCUAAGUGAACAUAAAAUAUAACUGCAGAAGUAAGUAGCUGAUAGGAAUGAAUGAACUAGUACUAAGAAUGUUAAUUCUAUUAAAAUUCAAUAGACAGGAUCCUGUAAAGAGGACAGAUGGACGAAUAUGUGUGCUGCAGAAAAAGACUGUUGAGCUGAUGAUUUCUGUUUGUGGAGGAUGGGGUGACACAUUUUAUCUUGCCCUUACUGCUGUAUUAAAGCACUUGUACAUUUUAUCCUUCUCUGGUAACUCUCUCCCUUCAUCUCAAACAAUGUAAAAGUACUGGGUACUUAAUAUUUUUUUACUUAAUUUAAGGGGGAGAAUGUUGUAUUUUACUCAGAGGUAAAAUGUCAGACAAUUGGAAUACCCUUCCAAGAUGAAGAAUAUUAGCCUGCAAACAGGCUUCCAAGUUUCCUGAUGCAGUAUUAUAUUUCCCAGGACAUCUGUAAAGAAUUAGCACUUGUUUCAGAUUAUUUUUCUGUGUACAUUAAUUACUCCUCUAUACCAUCAUAAAAUAGUCAAUGUUUCAUAGUCUCAGUUUGUAUUUUCCUGAAAGAAAGCAAACUUACCAGCAACAUAAUAAAUUGUAGCUUCAAGUUAAGGUGGGAGGGAAUAAUUUUAGAGCCAAAUUUUGCUCUCAAUUACACUGAGAUAAACCUGGAAUCACUCUGUGAAAGUCAUUGGAGUGAUAUCCGAUUUCACUGGUAUAAUUGAGUGUAUAAUUUGUGUCUUUUAAUUUUACUUGCAAGGUAAUUUUACAAACCUGUUAUACUUAUGUUUCCAAUGCUUUUUCCUUUCAGACAUACCCACUUCUUGCGUCUCAGCAUUGGGCAGGCCUAUUCCUUUAUUUGUGUAUAUUUUUGUGCAUCAGCUGCUAUAGGACACGGGUGUUACACUUUCAGGCAUGUGGUUGGGUGUCUUUUUGGGGUUUGUAAUAAUGUCUAAAAAUAAAAAUUUCUUUUCCUCAGAUUUAUUCAUUAAUUCAUGUUGGAUCACAGUUUUGCAUCUCUAACCUGAUUUUAGAUACAUAUUAUGUGAAGAUUUUCUUGAAAGAAAUACAGUACUAGUUCUUUGCAGAGUCUGCAAUUCAUCUUUGGUGGGGAGAGUUUACCAAAGUUUACUACAUUCUCUAAUAUUUCAAGUUUUAAUAUUUAAUGUUGCUUGAAAGGUGGUUUUACAGAUCAUGCUCCUUCCUCUUUAUGGAAUGGCUUUCAAAGCCUUGUGUUGAUCUUGGUUGUGCCCAGUGCUUUGCCUAGAGUAUGGGGAAAUGUAGAACUGGAAUAGGCCAUGACUUUUAGACAAGGGAUGAUGAUUAUCUGCAUGCUGAACCAGAACUUCUUCUAUAUGCCCUUCUGCUGCAACAGAAUAAUAAAACUGGUAGGUGGCAGCAGCAGCAGAAGACACUCAUGACUGUGACCUGAGAAACCUCCAGUACUGGGAGAAAUGGAUUGCAAAGUACUAACUGGAGUAAGGGGAAUGGAGAAGAGAGGCAGAGUCCCUGAACUGUCCCUUUGAAUGGAAUCUAAGACGUGUGGAAGAUGCUGGAUCACCAGGUGCAGAGAUUGAACUCUACCCACUGGAAAGGUUUUUCUACAGCAGCAGCAGGUCUUCUCCUGCCUCUCAUGGGGACACAUAGCCUUUUGAUAAUGCCUCCUUCACAGUGAAGGGAAGAAAGGAUGGAUCAGCAGGGAUGUGCAAUGGAGUGAUGUCCACAUGUGGUGUUAACAGUCAUGAUCCCUGUCCCACUAACUUGGAGAAUUGAAUAAAAAAGUUGAAUUGUAAUUAA